GUCCACGCCGUAAAACGUUGGGCACUAGGUGUGGGUCUCUAUCGACGGGAUCCGUGCCGUAGCUAACGCAUUAAGUGCCCCGCCUGGGGGAGUACGGCCGCAAGGCUAAAACUCAAAGGAAUUGACGGGGGCCCGCACAAGCGGCGGAGCGUGUGGCUUAAUUCGAUGCAACGCGAAGAACCUUACCUGGGCUUGACAUUUAGGGAAAAGCCGGUGAAAGCCGGUGUGCUUCGGCGUCCUAAACAGGUGGUGCAUGGCUGUCGU
rnacentral:rRNA from 1 species